AUUGAACGCUGGCGGCAGGCCUAACACAUGCAAGUCGAGCGAGCGGCGGACGGGUGAGUAAUGUAUGGGGACUGCCCGAUAGAGGGGGAUAACUACUGGAAACGGUGGCUAAUACCGCAUACUGUCGGAUAACCCAUAUGGGAUAAGCUAGUAGGUAAGGUAAUGGCUUACCUAGGCGACGAUCCCUAGCUGGUCUGAGAGGAUGAACAGCCACACUGGGACGGGAACACGGCCCAGACUCCUACGGAGGCAGCAGUGGGUAAUAUUGCACAAUGGGCGAAGUCCUAAUGCGGACCUGCCGCGUAUAGGAAGAAGGCCCUAGGGUUGUAAAGUACGUUCAGUCGGGAGGCGUUACCGAAAUAAGAAGCAACGGCUAACUCCGUGCCAGCAGCCGCGGUAAUUC
rnacentral:rRNA from 1 species